GCGUAGGUGGCCGAGCGGUCCAAGGCGGUGGUCUUAAGAUCCACUGUGACAAUUCACGCGUGGGUUCGAACCCCACCCUGCGUA
rnacentral:tRNA from 1 species